rnacentral:ncRNA from 1 species
CCUUUGUACACACCGCCCGUCGUACUACCGAUUGAAUGGUUUAGAGACGUCCUCCGAUUGGACCCGGUCCGGGCGGCGACGUCCGAGCCGGCGUCCGAGAAGACGAUCUAACUUGAUCAUUUAGAGGAAGUAAAAGUCGUAACAAGGUUUCCGUAGGUGAACCUGCGGAAGGAUCAUUA